rnacentral:lncRNA from 1 species
AACCAAGAAAAGCCUCAGGGAUGGUGCCUGGCAAACUGCACGCUGUUAAUACAUGUUAGUGGACCGUUCUCCACACCUUCCUGCUACACUAAAGCAGAGAGAAUUACCUCCUGAAUCAUGUUUGCAGAACUUCUGGGCACAGUGACUCAACUCCCAGCUAUUCUUGUCAUGGAUUUUUUCUCUUGGAGCCAAUCCAGCCAUGGAGAUCACUGGUCUUGUGACUUAUUUUUUCUCUUUCAGUAUGAAAUCAUUAGAACUGAGAAAAUGAAAACAUUCCUGUUAUUACUUCCUGAGAGAAAGAAACUUAGUAACAUGCUUUGGUAGGAAUUGUUCUUCUUUCUCCUGCUGUGUCCCUCUUGCUGGUCCCACCAGGGCUCUUGGUCCUGAGCCUGAUUUACACCAGGAGCAUAAUCUGAUCAAAAAGAGGGAAACUAAAGAAAAAAGGCAGGAUUGUAUGAGGGGUUCUCACAAUGGCAGUACAUAAUCCCUUAUACCUCGUAUUAAGUAGCCCCCUGUGUUUCCAAGUUACCUUUGUAAUUUAGCCACUCCACUCCCAGCGAACCUUCCUACUGCAUGCAGGCUUUAUUCUUCCAUCACUUUCCUCCUCUGUUUCUAAAUGACAUUUUCACCCCCAUUUCCUGGAUACUUCCUUGUUUUAAUACACAGUAAGUUUAUGUGACUGGUUUUGGC